rnacentral:rRNA from 1 species
CCUACGGGUGGCAGCAGUGGGGAAUAUUGGACAAUGGGCGAAAGCCUGAUCCAGCCAUGCCGCGUGUGAGAAGAAGGCCUUCGGGUUGUAAAGCACUUUCAGUGGGGAAGAAAGCCUUGGGGCUAAUACCCUCGAGGAAGGACAUCACCCACAGAAGAAGCACCGGCUAACUCCGUGCCAGCAGCCGCGGUAAUACGGAGGGUGCGAGCGUUAAUCGGAAUUACUGGGCGUAAAGCGCGCGUAGGCGGUCUGAUAAGCCGGUUGUGAAAGCCCCGGGCUCAACCUGGGACCGGCAUCCGGAACUGUCAGGCUAGAGUGCAGGAGAGGAAGGUAGAAUUCCCGGUGUAGCGGUGAAAUGCGUAGAGAUCGGGAGGAAUACCAGUGGCGAAGGCGGCCUUCUGGACUGACACUGACGCUGAGGUGCGAAAGCGUGGGUAGCAAACAGGAUUAGAUACCCUUGUAGUC